CCUACGGGCGGCAGCAGUGAGGAAUAUUGGUCAAUGGGCUUACGCCUGAACCAGCCAAGUCGCGUGAGGGAAGACUGCCCUAUGGGUUGUAAACCUCUUUUGUCAGGGAGCAACGCCGGCUACGUGUAGCCGGACUGAGCGUACCUGAAGAAAAAGCAUCGGCUAACUCCGUGCCAGCAGCCGCGGUAAUACGUAGGGGGCAAGCGUUAUCCGGAUUUACUGGGUGUAAAGGGACAGUAGACGGAAAGGCAAGUCAGAAGUGAAAACCAAAGGCUCAACCAUGGGACUGCUUUUGAAACUGUCAAACUAGAGUACGGGAGAGGUAAGAGGAAUUCCUGGUGUAGCGGUGAAAUGCGUAGAUAUUAGGAGGAACACCAGUGGCGAAGGCGUCUUACUGGACCGAAACUGACGUUGAGGCUCGAAAGCGUGGGGAGCAAACAGGAUGAGAUACCCCAGUAGUC
rnacentral:rRNA from 1 species